GCACCUGCAAAAUAGAGUUAGAACUACGUGUGAGAAAAUCCUUUAUUUUCCUUUUACAAUGGAGAACAAGCAACAACUCACCGAGGUCAGCCAUUCUGGCUUGGAGAAUGUGCCUCCCAAAAUUCCUGAAGAUGCUGAUGUUGAGAGCAGUCACGUCACAAAAAAUCAGCCCAGUCAGGGCAAUCCCAUUUAGGCUCAGCCCGUUCAGUGGCAGCAUUUUCAGGCCAACCAGGGGCAGCCCAUUCCGGGCCAGCCCAUCCAGUUGCUGCAUAUGCCAUCUUCAUCAGUCCCAUGGUACAAUGUGCCUGCUCAGCCCGCUAUUUUUGGGUCAUCAUUGCCAUUAUAGUUUGAGGGAGGUCCAGUAGC